CAGUAGCCACGGUAAUACAGAGGGUGCAAGCGUUAAUCGGAAUUACUGGGCGUAAAGCGCGCGUAGGUGGUUUGUUAAGUUGGAUGUGAAAGCCCCGGGCUCAACCUGGGAACUGCAUCCAAAACUGGCAAGCUAGAGUACGGUAGAGGGUGGUGGAAUUUCCUGUGUAGCGGUGAAAUGCGUAGAUAUAGGAAGGAACACCAGUGGCGAAGGCGACCACCUGGACUGAUACUGACACUGAGGUGCGAAAGCGUGGGGAGCAAACAGGAUUAGAUACCCGGGUAGUCCCUGUCUCUUAUAC
rnacentral:rRNA from 1 species